rnacentral:rRNA from 1 species
AAUGAAUUGACGGGGGCCCGCACAAGCGGUGGAGCAUGUGGUUUAAUUCGAUGCAACGCGAAGAACCUUACCUACUCUUGACAUCCACAGAACUUUCCAGAGAUGGAUUGGUGCCUUCGGGAACUGUGAGACAGGUGCUGCAUGGCUGUCGUCAGCUCGUGUUGUGAAAUGUUGGGUUAAGUCCCGCAACGAGCGCAACCCCUAUCCUUAUUUGCCAGCACGUAAUGGUGGGAACUCUAGGGAGACUGCCGGUGAUAAACCGGAGGAAGGUGGGGACGACGUCAAGUCAUCAUGGCCCUUACGAGUAGGGCUACACACGUGCUACAAUGGCGAGUACAGAGGGUUGCAAAGCCGCGAGGUGGAGCUAAUCUCACAAAGCUCGUCGUAGUCCGGAUUGGAGUCUGCAACUCGACUCCAUGAAGUCGGAAUCGCUAGUAAUCGUGGAUCAGAAUGCCACGGUGAAUACGUUCCCGGGCCUUGUACACACCGCCCGUCACACCAUGGGAGUGGGCUGCAAAAGAAGUGGGUAGCUUAACCUUCGGGGGGGCGCUCACCACUUUGUGGUUCAUGACUGGGGUGAAGUCGUAACAAGGUAGCCCUAGGGGAACCUGGGGCUGGAUCACCUCCUUACCUAUACGACUAACUCGAUGCUUUUGAGUGUUCACACAGAUUGCUUGUUUAUCCUGUCUUAGGACGGGUAGAGCGAAACAUCCCUCUAGCAGGUCGAUGUAGUUCUUUAACAAUUUUGGAAAGCUGAUAGUAAUUAACGC